UACAAUCAGCGGGCGAUGGGGUCGUCACAUCCCUACGUCUUAUUCUUGAUAUCCAUUUCGAGUGACAUUAUUAUUUUUUCCUUUAUUUAUCUUUUAUUCUUAGGUAAGGCUUUUUACAAUAUGUAUAUAAAAGUAAAAUAUAAAAACAAAAUAUAUAAACACAUUAUAAAAAAACCGGACAAGUGCGAGUCGGACUCGCCCACCGAGGGUUCCUUGUAGUAUUUGUUGUUAUAGCGGCAACAGAAAUACAUCAUCUGUAUUUCAACUGUUCAUGAGACAUGAGCCUGGUGACAGACGGACGGACGGACGGACAGCAGAGUCUUAGUAAAUAGGGUCUCGUUUUACCUUUUGGGUACGGAACCCUAAAAACCUAACCUAGGGUGCCCGAAGAAAACGAACAGACUUAUUUGUAUAUUUUUCAAAGAUGUUAAAAAUGUCUCUGGAAAUCGCAAUUAAAAGCUAAUCAAAAUCUAAAUGUAAACAAGUCAGUUCUACAGGUAAGAUUAAACGACACGCGAUUUUCGAACUAUUCAAACGUAGUGAUCCCGCGCUUUUUCAAAUUUGCCGCCUUUUCUACUGACAAGUUUCGCUUAACCAUGCAAUAUGUAUUCAAUAUAUUAUAUUCAUGCAUUUUGGAAAUAAUAAUAUUCAUCUGCAUUGCUUACAACGUUACUAUGUAUAUAUAAAUAUGUACCUAGUCACGCAAACAUGAUCAAGAUUUAUUUUAUACACCAUUGUGCAUUUGUGUGUAUGUUUAUGUCAGUACCCCUAGUGUAAAUAAAUUCGAUUUCGAAACGUGACGUACGCGUUUGCGUUGUCUCAUUUUGUAUUAGAUUUAGAAAGAGCGCGCCAAGCGGGACGUUUUGGAAACUCAAAAUCCUAUACAAAAUGAGACUUAACGCAAACGCGUUCGUCACGUUAUGAUGUCGAUCAAAUUUACACUAGGGGUACAUGUACCAAGUACCAAUACUGACACAUGUAAGUAUAUCGUGUUAAAAAAAACGUCCUUAUAAAUUUGGUUAUAAAGUAUUAACAUUAAAGUCAUUAUUGUCUACCUAGUUAUUCCAAAGCAAAGUGAAAACAUAAUUUAAACGAGGGCAAGAAGGCUGCAUUUCGUGUGUACUUUUUUAUUUUAAUUGUAAUCUUGAAUGUAGGGCAAGGUUGGUGCGUUCGAGUAACAUUAAAAUAGAACAAAUAACUUGAGGCACGCACACUUAAGUGUUUGUUGAGCGCUCGUAGCCUUAUAGAUUGCUGUUUUUUACCUAGCUAUUAAAUGAACUAGGCCUUAAUGACAUGGCAGUAAGGCUUAUCACGGUGAUUUUAUAAACUCUAACAUCAAUUAUUCAUAGAUAGGAUAGAUUUAACCCUUAAACCAUUUGAUAUUCCUUUCUAAUGUCAUUUAACAAUGCUUCUACUUAGUUAUUAUAAAUUAGAUUUAACAAUAAGUGUAAAAAAAUUAAAACAAUUAUAAAUUUAAAUGGAGAAUCCGGAGAACAGAGUACGAGGAGAUAUUGCAAAUAGUAUCACUUAUUUUAUGAAAUAGGGAUCAAUUAUUAACGUAUAAUACAGGAGUAUUUCGAGGAAAUACGAGUAUUACAAUGGAAAAAUAUAUGUACAUAGGUAGUUCGAGGAACGACAUUAGCAGUCGGUGCUAUCAAUGGACCUCGCCUCUGACCCACUGACCCAGUUUCGCGGGAGACUUAUAUCGUCAAGCGCCGCCAUUACACGCACGUACCUAACAACUACCAUCUACAUAUAUUAUAAAUCAGCAAAGGAUGCCUUUAUGCUUUAUUUAUCUUUUCAUCACACUUGCUCGAAAAAGAUCUUAUUUCAUGCAGGUGUGCUGAGGGACAAAGGCCUAUUGUUCCCGCGGGAGUUAUGGAUUGUGAAAAUAAAACUAUAACUCCCUACUCUCCCUAGGGAGUUAUAGCUUUUUCUUUAAUUAUGUCACUUAUUCAUACAAACCAAGUAGCAUAAAUGAGUUUUACUUUUAAAAUACUGACGUUUAUAAUUUAAUAGUAUUGUUUAUGUUUCGAAAUAUUUAAUUUGAUUAAUUUAACAGCCGUUUAAAAUAUUUUUACAUAAUAUUCAAUCGUGGCUGAAUGCCGAAUAGGUCUUUGCCUUCGAUGCCUCACCUGCCAAGAAAUUACAAAAUGGCGGACGAAUGUUUGAUAUGUCACCGUAUUUAAGAACUAUUUUGUUUAAAAUUUAGUUUUUUCUUCUCAAGUGUGAUGAAAAACAUUUUGUGUAACUCCGGGGGUAAGAAUAUUGCAAACUCGGGUCUUUAAUUACCACCCUCGUAUCCAAAAUUUCACUUUCCCCCUCGUUGCACAAUGUACUACAACUCUGUUUUUUCACUUAUUCGUUUUCAGCUAAGUAUCUCUCUUGUUUUGCCGAAUAAUUUGGUCAGGUCAGGACAAGCUAUAAUUGCAUUAGCAGCUAGAGAGAUAAACCGCACCUUAUAAGCAAACAGGUUUCGUAAAAGGUAAAGGACUAGCGAACAAAUGUUCUGCUAGUUAGAUCUAGAGAUGGGCCAAAUACCAAAUAUGAAUAUUCGUCCGAAUUAUUCGAUGAAUCUAUAAGCCAUCUUCCAAUUCUUAUAUAUCAUCUGAAACCGUUUUAAUACUAAUAGUUUGUUUUAAUGCGUGUGUUUUAAUGACAACAGGAAGACGUAUUCUGGGACAGUAUCUACUUGCAAAGAUCUGGAGGAGCCUAUACACACCCAAACAUCCUCAAUCUGGAAAUAAAGAGGUGGAAAGAGACAAAACAUAUCUCAGGCAUUGUCAGGUAGGUAAUGGAACAUACUGACUGCCGAGUUUGCUCGAAAUUUAAUGUGGUAAUUCACUUAGUAUUAAAAUACAACUAAAACCGCACAUAACAGCGUUAAAUGAAAAUAUAAAAUAACAACACAGCCCAGUGACCAAUAUACUUUCAUCUCGGGAUAAAUUAAUGUAUUAUAAAAACAAAAUUUUAAGGAGAGCUACGUUCUGAUGUUUCAAUAAAAUUAAUUCGGAUGACGCCCAGUCGCUGUGACCUGACACAAAUCGGUUGGCGUCAACAACUGCGGCAUACUUUGACGAUGAAAUUACCUAAUUUACGCUGAGCAUGGAAUGUUUGAAGAGACAUGUUAAAUUAACACGCGAAAUGUGGGAUGAUACGAAAGUAUUACGUCGUGACACAUUCUAUUCCGAGUCUAUCUAUAAAAAAAUCUAUUUCCUCAAACAA